UAGAGUUUGAUCAUGGCUCAGGAUGAACGCUAGCGGGAGGCCUAACACAUGCAAGUCGAGGGGUAACAUUGUCUUCGGACAGAUGACGACCGGCGCACGGGUGAGUAACGCGUAUGCAACCUGCCUUUGACAGAGGAAUAGCCCGGAGAAAUCCGGAUUAAUACCUCAUGGUAUUUAAGAUUCGCAUGGGUUUUAAAUUAAAGAUUUAUCGGUCAAAGAUGGGCAUGCGUGACAUUAGCUAGUUGGUAAGGUAACGGCUUACCAAGGCUACGAUGUCUAGGGGUUCUGAGAGGAUGAUCCCCCACACUGGUACUGAGACACGGACCAGACUCCUACGGGAGGCAGCAGUGAGGAAUAUCGAUCAAUGGGCGCAAGCCUGAACCAGCCAUCCCGCGUGAAGGAAGACGGCCCUAUGGGUUGUAAACUUCUUUUCUGCACCAAGAAUGGACAUUACGUGUAGUGUUUUGACGGUAGUGCAGGAAUAAGCAUCGGCUAACUCCGUGCCAGCAGCCGCGGUAAUACGGAGGAUGCAAGCGUUAUCCGGAUUUAUUGGGUUUAAAGGGUACGUAGGUGGCCUUGUAAGUCAGUGGUGAAAUCCUGCCGCUUAACGGUAGAACUGCCAUUGAUACUGCAGGGCUUGAGUACAGUUGAGGUAGGCGGAAUGUGUAGUGUAGCGGUGAAAUGCUUAGAUAUUACACAGAACCCCGAUUGCGAAGGCAGCUUACUAAACUGUAACUGACACUGAGGUACGAAAGCGUGGGGAGCGAACAGGAUUAGAUACCCUGGUAGUCCACGCCGUAAACGAUGCUCACUCGCUGUAUGCGAUACACAGUAUGCGGCCAAGCGAAAGUCUUAAGUGAGC
rnacentral:rRNA from 1 species